UAUCAAACGGCUGUUGGUCGGCACGCGUGCUUGGUGGGUGGAAAAACUGACGACGACGACGGCUGCCGUUGACUGGUGCGGCUCAGCACAGCAUGCUUCAGCCUCAGUCAGUCCUCAUCGGCACGUCAGUAGCAAAGGAUAACGCGGCACUGAUUGUGCAAGCGGCGCGAAUCGGAGUUUUAGUAGUCAGUCGUUCGGGAAGAAUUGUUCUAUCUAGAGUGGAUGUGAUGUUCAGGAUCACUACCAUCAUCAGUGAAGCAGAGCGCUUUCUCUUCGAAGAAAAGUGUUAAAGUGUCCUCACCUUUGGAGAGUGCUGAAAACGUGUUUCCUUCGUAUAAAAUAACGAUAAACGUACAUAACAUCGUUAGCCCCGUGGGAUAAUCCUGGCAUGCUAAUUAUUGAUAGUGGUGGUGAAAACAGGCGGAAGCCACUAACGCUUAGUGCAGUGAAGUGGAUGGGAAAAUAUUAAUCGAUAAUCCUGUGUGGUUGGAUGAUGGGAUUUUGUUGAGUUAAGUUCAGACCGACCUGCUCCUGUUCUACAAAUUCCUCGUGGUAGCCGAAGUUGCAGUAGCGUGGCGUGGCGUUUUCGGGCCAUCAUUCUCAUAAGGGCAACAGCGUUCGAUCACAAAAUAUUUUAAUGAGAUAUUAAGAAUGUAUGAGUAAACGACCCAACUGUGGAGAUGGAUGGAUAUCAGUGGUUUCGGUACAAUGUGGAAUGAAUGAGCGAUCGUUGGCUAUGAUUUAGAAAUAGCCACUAUGAAAAGUGAAUCGAAGGAUACGAAGAAGAAAACAUAGGCUUUGGAAUUCUUCAUUACUACCCAUAAAAUGGGUCAAAGCAAAUCGUUAACUGCUGUUCAUGCCAUAAGGAGUGGACUAACAUAAGCGAGGGAAAACAUAGUUUUUGGAAGAUUGAUAGCUGAAUAAAUAAUCAGAAAAUUGCUUGGACGGUUGAGGUCGCUGAAUCAUCGUAACAUUAAAUCAGCAAUAACUGCGUGAUGACUUCUGUUACUAGAUUGUGAAAUUAGAGCAUAUGUAAAAAAUACAAAUGUCUACACUGGGUUAAGUUUCGAAAACAACUUUUGCAACUGUGACUGUGUACGAAACGAGUGAAUGAAUUUGGGUUGCAAAAAUUUCCCCAAUUAAUAAUGCACGUGUUGAAAAAGCUUCGUGAGUUAAUGCAUUCAUUAGUGAAGUGAAAAAGGUUGAUUUGUUUAGGAUUGGAAAUCUUUCAGCAAACAAGACGGGAGAAAAUUAGAUUGACGGAUUUGGCAGUCAGAAGGCUGAUAAAAACGUAAGGCAUGCAUAACAAUACAGCGCAGCUGUCCGACCAAGUGCCUCUCCCAAGGUCCAAUCCCAUAAGAAGACCCGGAAACGCAUACAGUAUGAGUUAAUUUCAGACGCAAAAACUUCAGGAGCAACCAUUUCGCGUCCCGUUGUUGCCCGGAGCCUGGAGGCAUAAAAACUUGGGAACGAACGUCCGACGAUGCUCUAACUAGUCCCCGGUUGGAAGUUGGAAGUUGCAACUUCAGUCAGUCAGUGGGAUCAGCGCCAGUCAUCCAACUUGGAAACCGUGAGGCCGGCGGGGGGAUAACGCCGCCAAGUGAAGUGAAUACAACGACCUUUAGAAUCAUCGUCACGGGAAAGUUUGCAUUUAUUCUUCAGCUGUUGGGUUGGGAAACAAAGCGAGUUUUCAUUCGUCAUUCCUCUCUUUUUUUUUGCUGUGCGGUGUAGCCGUCAGUAGGGUAGUGGAGGUGGACGUUGUUGGUUUCAACAAGAACUCGCGGUAUGCCACGAGAACACAAGCGCCGGCCAGCGAACAGCCAAGGCUAUGAUUCUUCAAUGAUGUUGACGCGGAAAACAAUGAUAACAAUCUAGAGCUUUUGUUCCGGGAAUUUGGCAGAUGGUUCCGGAGGGUGGUGUUAAGGAUCGAGAAUCUGCGAGUGCAAGUGCAUGGAAAUAUACCAGUGAAGACGACGACGUCAGAAAUCUUUGAAUACCAUCGGGGGAAAUUCGAAGGAAAAUAGGUGUUCAAUUCGACUACCAGCCAGCUCCAGCGGUUCGUCAUUACUCCGCCCUGAUCAAAGUUCAUACCGGAGGAAACCUCGGAAAAUGCAAACAAUAUGAGAUGAUUGCAAAUUAAAACACUCCCAGCGAAACCCACUCGCGGUUUUUCACUCGUACAUAGCCGAAGGCUACUAAAAGUCCAACAAACGAAUAGCACAACGAUACUGUUUUUUUUUCUAUAACAAGUAACAGAAAGUGGUGGAUGCAGCAAACAACAGCGACAGAGUUCAGUGAAAACGGAAAAGCCUUUAAGCGAAAAGAGUGGAAAAUACACCGACUUUUCCGUUCGUCUACUAGUUAAUAUAACAGAGCGGAAUUUUAAUCUACGUUUGUUUUAUGCAUCUGUCCACAGCCACACCAGAAGGGGCAGACGGCAGCGUGCAUUCUGAGAAGUGAAAAGUGGUGGAAACUGAGUGUAAUGGUGCGAUGCAGAAACACAAAUAAUAAGUUCGUAACGGUGGAAUACAGAGAGUCGUGAAGUGCAUCAGCAUUGUGCUGCAAAGAAUAAUUGAUCUGAAUAGCGAGUGGGUUGGUGAGAGUGUUGGUUUAUGGAAAAUGAGAUGUGAAAAUUAAUCUGGGGAGGUCCAAGUUACAAGUUUCAAAGAAAAAAAGCGAGAUCAAAGCGAAAAUGAAGUAAAGUGAUAAUGGAAUCGUUCCACCUAGUUCAAGGAGUCCAAGAUAUCUUCAUAACAGUAAUGGAUGUUUAAAAUUGAAAUGAUAAAGCUGUCUGCUGCAGAAUUACUCAUAAACUAAAACACUAUAAGGCUCGUCAAGAUACAAGGUCACCUCCGACGCAAUAACUAACAAGACCGUUGCUCAUUAAAGUCAACUAAAGAAACGUCUACGCUUUAAUUACAAAAAAAGCCAAGCAAUAGCCAACCAUCCUUCAGCAUUAGAUGCACCUAUCUGUAACAGUUGUCGCCGGAAAAUAAGCAAACAAACGCAACCAGCCCAGAAAUAUCACCCACCGUAAAUCCCAUAAUUUGCCUUUUCUACCGGAAGUGUUUCUUAGCGAGCUAGAGCGUGUGAGUGUGCACCACGCUGCAACAAACAACGACGACACCAAUGACCCAGUUGAGCCAUGUCCUGGCUUCCUCCACGGAAGCACCAUCAACCUAGCACAAGCAACAAUUGAAACAAACGGCGUAACUCAACAAAUACCGGUGGCCGUACAGUGUGCCACCGAGAAAUAUCAUGGAAAAUGUGUACGCGAACGAAAGCUAUGAAACAAGUGCUGCCGCGACAGACGUCGGGACAGACGUCGUUGUUCCGCCUCCGAGCAUCUGCAAGCCCGUCGGAAUCAGAAAGAUUCCCAACAGAUCCAGCAGCACCCACAGCGUCCGGAUACUGUCCCCAACGCCUCCCUCCCCGACGGCCACCCUGCCCCUGGCCGAGGUAACAGUUUCCACCAUCAGCAUCCCGCCGAUGAUGAUGAUGGUGGAACCCGACCAGCAGGACGACAAUCAGCAGCAUGAGCGUACAGAGCUGCCACCGGUAUCAUUCAAACUGCAAGGAAACAGUACAAACAGCACAACCGCCAGCUCCGGCACCAAGAAGGCAAAGGUGGACUUUGUGCGCUUUGACUCGACCGAGAUUCACUACACGGAUCACGAUGAGGUGCGGACUAAAAUUUCGGACGAAAUUAAAAGGUAAGUGAGCGAGUGUUUUGUUUGCUGCCACGUUGAUGA